UACAGAGGGUGCGAGCGUUAAUCGGAAUUACUGGGCGUAAAGCGCGCGUAGGCGGCUUUGCAAGUCGGGUGUGAAAUCCCCAGGCUUAACCUGGGAACUGCAUUCGAGACUGCAUUGCUAGAGUAUGGGAGAGGGAAGUGGAAUUUCCGGUGUAGCGGUGAAAUGCGUAGAUAUCGGAAGGAACAUCAGUGGCGAAGGCGGCUCACUGGUCCGGUACUGACGCUGAGGUGCGAAAGCGUGGGGAGCAAACAGG
rnacentral:rRNA from 1 species